rnacentral:piRNA from 1 species
UGGUGAUCAAAGUGUAGUCAUUCUGUUGC